AAACUUUCAACAACGGAUCUCUUGGCUCUGGCAUCGAUGAAGAACGCAGCGAAAUGCGAUAAGUAGUGUGAAUUGCAGAAUCCAGUGAAUCAUCGAAUCUUUGAACGCACAUUGCGCCCGCCAGCAUUCUGGCGGGCAUGCCUGUUCGAGCGUCAUU
rnacentral:rRNA from 1 species